UACGUAGGGUGCAAGCGUUGUCCGGAAUUAUUGGGCGUAAAGAGCUCGUAGGCGGUUUGUCGCGUCUGCUGUGAAAACUCGGGGCUUAACCCCGGGCCUGCAGUGGGUACGGGCAGACUAGAGUGAUGUAGGGGAGACUGGAAUUCCUGGUGUAGCGGUGAAAUGCGCAGAUAUCAGGAGGAACACCGAUGGCGAAGGCAGGUCUCUGGGCAUUAACUGACGCUGAGGCACGAAGGCCAGGGGAGCAAACGGG
rnacentral:rRNA from 1 species